GUAGGCUCUGAGGGUCAGGUCUUUCCUACUGAUGAGUCAACAGGGUCAAUAGAAGGUCGGCUCUGAGGGUCAGGUCUUUCCUACUGAUGAGUCAACAGGGUCAAUAGAAGGUCGGCUCUGAGGGUCAGGUCUUUCCUACUGAUGAGUCAACAGGGUCAAUAGAAGGUCGGCUCUGAGGGUCAGGUCUUUCCUACUGAUGAGUCAACAGGGUCAAUAGAAGGUCGGCUCUGAGGGUCAGGUCUUUCCUACUGAUGAGUCAACAGGGUCAAUAGAAGGUCGGCUCUGAGGGUCAGGUCUUUCCUACUGAUGAGUCAACAGGGUCAAUAGAAGGUAGGCACUGAGGGUCAGGUCUUUCCUACUGAUGAGUCAACAGGGUCAAUAGAAGGUAGGCUCUGAGGGUCAGGUCUUUCCUACUGAUGAGUCAACAGGGUCAACAGAAGGUAGGCUCUGAGGGUCAGGUCUUUCCUACUGAUGAGUCAACAGGGUCAAUAGAAGGUAGGCUCUGAGGGUCUGGUGUUUCCUACUGAUGAGUCAACAGGGUCAAUAGAAGGUAGGCUCUGAGGGUCAGGUCUUUCCUACUGAUGAGUCAACAGGGUCAAUAGAAGGUCGGCUCUGAGGGUCUUGACACGUUCCUGAGUAAUAAAGCAACACCUGAGGGAAUGGCAUCUAAAACAAUUUCAAAAUCUUUAGGUGUUACAGGGACCUUGUAAAGUGAUAAGAAUUCCUUAUAACUGAGUAAGAGAGCCUCUGCAUUUACCAGUUGGCUCCCCAACAGGAUAUUAUUUAGAAACCAAUAUUCCAAAAACAAAGAAGUAUUUUUAUACAAUAUGUCCCGAUUAUUCCAUAUAUAAUAUCUGUGUGGAGAAAAAUUAUAAUUGCAAAACGACAUGAAGUUAAGGCCACCAAAAGUAGAGAAGACAUGAUGAGUAAUACAAUUCUACAUAGAUGUGUCUUCUUAGGAAUUGUUUUAUCCAAUUGAUCUUAAAAGUAUUAUUUAAGGUAGUAAAGUCCAGAAAAUUCAGCCCACCAUUCUCAUAAGUGUUCAUUACAACAGUUUUCCUAAUGUAAUGUUUACGGUUUCUCCACAGAAAGUUGAAAAGCAUCUGGUCUAUCUCCUUGCUUAUUUUACUGUCAAGAUAUAAAGAUAGAGCACCAUAUGUUAGUCUAGAGAUACCUUCAGCCUUGGUUAUUAGGACUCUACCUUUUAAAGAUAAGUCCCUCUGUAGCCAUUGAUUUAGUUUCUUCUGGGUUUUUUUUAAUAAGAGGGUUAAAAUUUAGUAAGCCUCCAGACUUCUGAUCCUUUGUAAUGGUUAUGCCUAAAUAUGUAAGUUAUUAUUUUACUGGAAUACCAUAAUAUGAAGGUGUCACACAAUCUUUGACAGCUAUUAGUUCACAUUUAUUAAUGUUAAGAUAUAGACCAGACGCUUUGGAAAAGCAUUGUAUCACAUUGAUCGAUAUGGGAAUUUGGUUAGCGUCUUUCAGAGAAAGUGUAGUAUCGUCAGCCAGCUGGCUUAUAAUAAUUUCUUUACCAGCUAUGGAAAUACCUUGUAUAGGACUAUUAUUUAAAGAAUUUGUAAGAAGUUGGAUGAUUAAUAAAAACAGGUAUGGAGAGAUAGGACAACCUUGCCUAAUUCCUCUUUUUAACUCAAAUCUAAGUGAGGUGCCAUAUUUCAAUUUGAUAGAGCUGUUAUCAUUUGUGUGGAAGAGGAACUGAUGCUCUACUGUGUCAAAUGCUUUAUUAAAAUCUAAAAAUAAUAUGAAGCUAUCCUCAGUUAUUAGGUCUGAGUAGUCAAGUAUGUCUAAUACUAGUCUGACAUUGUUAGAAAUAUGUCUGUUCCUCAUGAAGCCAGACUGUGUUUCAUCAAUGAUUGCAUCCAGGACUUCUUUAAUUAUUUUUGCAAGUAGUAAGGCUAAUAUCUUAUAGUCAACAGAAGUUGGGUGAUGCAACAGGACAACGACCCAAAACAUAGAAGUAAAUAAAUCAACAGAAUGGAUUCAAAAUAACAAAAUACACCUUGUGGGGUGGCCCAGUCAGUCCUGACCUCAAUCCGAUUGAGAUGCUGUGGCAUGACCUCAAGAGAGCAGUUCACACCAGACAUCGCAAGACUAUUGCUGAACUGAAACAGUUUUGUAAAGAGGAAUGGUCCAAAUUCCUCCUGACCGUUGUGCAGGUCUGAUCCUCAUCUACAGAAAACAUUUUGUUGAGGUUAUUGCUGCCAAAGGAGGGUCAACUAGUUAUUAAAUCCAAGGGUUCACAUACUUCUCCCACCCUGCACUGUGAAUGUUUACACGGUGUGUUCAAUAAAGACACGAAAACAUAUAAUUGUUUGUGUGUUAUUAGUUUAAGCAGACUGUGUUUGUCUAUUGUUGUGACCAAGAUGAAGAUCAGAUCAAAGUUUAUGACCAAUUUAUGCAGAAAUCCAGGUAAUUCCAAAGGGUUCACAUACUUUUUCUUGCCACUAUGUGAUUUGACUCUC